AUGGCAGAGAGCAACAGUACCCCACAGGCUGGGAAGGUGGCACUACAGAAAGAAGUGACUGGUGUGAAUGGGGAGUCUCUGCCCCGGGUGUUGGAGGAAGCACAGCACACACGGCAGCUAACAGCCCAGCAUUCCCGUGCCACGGCCUCCGUCUCUGAGCUUACCUGCAUCUACUUGGCCCUCAUCCUGCACGACGAUGAGGUGACCGUGACGGAGGAUAAGAUCAAUGCCCUCAUUAAAGCAGCCAGUAUAAACGUUGAACCUUUCUGGCCUGGCUUCUUUGCAAAGGCCCUGGCCAACAUCAACAUUGGGAACCUCAUCUGCAGUGUAGGGUCUGGUGGACCUGCCCCAGCAGCUGGUGCUGCACCAGCUGGAGGACCUGCCCCCUCCACCACUGCUGCCCCAGCUGAGGAGAAGAUAGUGGAAGCAAAGAAAGAAGAAUCUGAAGAGUCCAAUGAUGACAUGGGCUUUGGUCUUUUUGACUAA